UGGCCAUUCGAAAGGGGUGCUACAAGGACUGUGGGAGUUCACAUUGAACAAGAAGACGGAGUGACUGGUUGACAGUCAGCUCCCCCAGCACAGAGGAUGGUGCUCCCACAUGCAGUAGAUGGAAACUGGCCUGGAUUGGAACAAGAGAUAUUGCUGCUGCUGUCGAGAACCAAGCCACUCUUCCAAGGUGAAGUGUUCUGGACAAAAUUGCAGCUGAAGAUGAUCUAGCAUCUAAAGUCAGAGGAAGGGUUGAACGUGACUCCAGCUCCACCCCAAGUCUGAUGUCAGCCACGUGAGAGACUUCAAGUGAGAGCUGCCCAGCUGGGCAGGCUCAAAUCCCAGGACCCAGAGAGAGAAAAAUAAUAUAUGCCACCGAGUUUGGGGUGGCUUGACCCUCAGCAAUAGAGCAUCUGGCCAUUAAAAAAAACCCCAAAACCUGUGGCUAUGAAUUUCCGACCCGUCAUCUCUCAGACCCCAAGUCCGUGGCAGGUGAAGGCUCUCUGGAGGUGCUGCAGGAAGUCAGUGGUGUUUCCUAGCAACGGCGACCAAGAUAAUUUAGUAAAGAAUUGGCACAAAACAUCCCACAAAGUAGUCAAGUACUUUUAACACAGAAGUAGGACAUUCAUCUAUGGUCCUGUAAUUUGAAAGUUGAAGUUAUGCUAAAUGAAA